UACGACUACAUAUCAGGCAUAUCAAUAAGCGGAGGAAAAGAAACUAACAAGGAUUCCCUUAGUAACGGCGAGUGAGGCGGGAAGAGCUCAAAUUUGAAAUCUUAAAGGGUUUCCCUUUACGAAUUGUAGUUUAAAGAAGUGUUUUCUGUUGGAGUUUCGGUAAAAGUUCUUUGGAAUAGGACAUCAUAGAGGGUGAGAAUCCCGUAUUUGACCGUUACUUUCCAGCUGUGUGAUACACUUUCAAAGAGUCGGAUUGUUUGGGAAUGCAGUCCAAGAUGGGUGGUAAAUUUCAUCUGAAGCUAAAUAUUGGCGAGAGACCGAUAGCGAACAAGUACCGUGAGGGAAAGAUGAAAAGAACUUUGAAAAGAGAGUUAAACAGUACGUGAAAUUGUCAAAAGGGAAGCGUUUGACACCAGUGUUGUUUAGUUGAAAAUCAAUUCAAUAGUUUUUGAUUCUAAGUAGUAUUGACUUCAUCAGCUUGCUGCUUUCUUCUCAGAAAUUAUUGAAUGCACUUUUCAGUUAACAAGUCAGCAUCAAUUUCUUUUGUUGUAAAAGGGUAAGAGGAAGGUGGCUUGCGCUUCGGCUCAAGUGUUUAUAGCCUUUUAUCUCUGCAAUCGGAGAGAUUGAGGUCUGCAGCGUAGAUCCUUCGGGGUUAGAUACAUUGGUGCUAAGCUAUAGCCUUGUAUAGACAACUUGUUGACUAUGCUCAGUCAUGUAGCUUACUCGCUGAUGCUAUUUUACCUACGCUUAGGAUGUUGAUCUACAGAGCGAGAGU
rnacentral:rRNA from 1 species